ensembl:lncRNA SAMMSON survival associated mitochondrial melanoma specific oncogenic non-coding RNA
GGCGCCCGCCACCACGCCCGGUGGUUUUGUGUUUUUAGUAGAGACGGGGUUUCACCGUUUUAGCCAGGAUGGUCUCGAUCUCCUGACCUCGUGAUCUGCCUGCCUCGGCCUCCCAAAGUGCUGGGAUUACAGGCGUGAGCUACCGCGCCCAGCUGGCACCAGGUUGGGAACAUGACCUAAUGGUGUGCUACCAUGCAGCUCUUUCCAGCUCCAUGUUCAGUGACUUCAUAUUGGUUUCCACUUUUGCAUCUUGCUCACCUUCUCUUGCCACCACCAUGUAAGAAGUGCCUUUUGCCUCCUGCCAUGUUUCUGAGGCCUCACCAGCCAUGUGGAACUCAUGCUUCCUAGAUUAAAUCUAAGACACUUACCAUGAGGUGGAGGUCCAGAAUGCUUCAGGGCCAGCACUCCAGAGAUGGAAUUAUCUCCAACAGCCACACCAAGAGCACUGAAGCCCCUUUGUGACCUGUUGACAGACACCAUGUUUUGCAUAAUAUAUAUAUUUUCAUUUUCCCUUAGCUUUCUUAUUAUUUAUUCAAUAAAUCCUUUUUUCUUGCUGACAGCAGUUGUAUUUAUAAAGCUAAACCCAACACAGCAAAAUGUUCAUCACUUUAUAAACUAAAUGCUAAUGUUUUAUUUAUGUGCAAUGAAGAAAGAAAAAAAGAACUGAAUUGAUGUUUACCUUACAAGCAGCACAAAAGUGCAGUACCAUAAUAGUGGAGUUCAUAAGCAUUCUGGCUUGUAAUUUUGGGUGUCAACAUUUGAAUUGCAGAAAGAGUUUAUGCAGACAUAGCACGUACACAAGUGCAGUUUAGAUCCACAUCUAUAAAAAUAACAUCUGUUUAAGCAUACAUUACAUUUAAAAAUAACUGUACAGUGAUCAGCUGGUUAAGUACAGUUAACCAGAUGUCGUUUUAAAGGGCCAGAUGGAACUAUGAAACUAAGAUUGAAAAAUUAAAAAAUACUGUGAAAGGUCAAACCAAUUAAGCAACCUGUUUUGUUGGCAUGUAACAGUUAAAAAGUAAGUUAAACUACUUAAGGAGUGAGCAAUAUGAAGAUGUAGCAGUUAAAACCAGGUCUUGCUCCUCUGAGGACAAAGAGAAAAAUCCAGGCUAGAGUUGCUCACUUACUGGAACUCAGGCCAACAUCAGAAAUGUGAAUUUUCCUGUGGUUAUCAGAGGCUGGGGAGUGGGAGGUUUGGGGAGCUGUUGGCCCAAAAAUAGAAAAUUUCAGUUAGACAGGAGGAAUAAGUCCAAGAGAUCUAUCGCACAACAUGAUGAUUAUAGUUAAUAAAAAUGUAUUGUAUACUUGAAAAUUACUAAGAGAGUGGAUUUUAAAUGUUUUCUCCACAAAAAAAAAAAGAUAAGUAUGUAAGGUAAUACAUAUGCUUGAUUUAGCCAUUCCACAAUGCAGUAUUUCAAAACAUCAUGUUGUAUACCAUAAAUACAAACAAUUUUUAUUUGCCAGUUAAAAAAUUAUUUUUUAAAAAAAUUGAAAAAUAAAUGUGAAUUUCUGUUGA